CCCUUAGAUGUUCUGGGCCGCACACGCGCUACAAUGGUGAAUUCAACAAGUCAACCAAAGCCGAUAGGUGGAGGUAAACUCGUAGUAUUCGCCGUGAUGGGGAUAGACCCUUGUAAUUAUUGGUCUCCAACGAGGAAUUCCUAGUAGACGCAAGUCAUCAACUUGCAUCGAUUACGUCCCUGCCCUUUGUACACACCGCCCGUCGCACCUACCGAUUGAAUGGUCCGGUGAAAUCUCCGGACUGGCGUGAGUCGGAGCAAUCUGACAAACACCGGAAAGUUGAUUAAACCUUACCAUUUAGAGGAAGGUGAAGUCGUAACA
rnacentral:rRNA from 1 species